AUUGCUCUUUAAUUCUGUACAUCAGGUUUCUACUCAUCUCAGCCCCUUCAUGUGCAUUCUCGUGCCUUUUCCAGGGAUCAACUUGGUGGUGCUCGGCAGCAAACGCCGAUGAGAACUAGGAGGAGUAAGAGGACAGAAAGAAAAAGAUGGAGCAGCAAGACUACAAGAGUGGAGUAGGCAGAGAUGUGGAUGAGCCAGAAACAUUGUGGCUAGGUUCUUUCUCUUGUGAGGUGACAUGGGAAACCAACCAGGAAAGCUCCCUUUCUUGAGGUGAUGCUCCAAUAUCAUGGGGCAAGCUUAUAAAGGGGAAACUAUGGGGCACUGCUAUUGAUUCUAGAUUGCUGGAAGCAACUCUCCUGCUUGUGGUACUCAAAAGAGAUGAUGAGUGUUGCGAGACAGAGAUCCUGGUGCUUAUUGGUGCAUUUGGUGCAUAAGAUUGAGAACCUUCACGAGUCUUGAGAUAAUAUGGGAUUUGGAGGCACUAGGGAAAAAUAUUCCACGUACCAGAC